UUGGAGGGCAAGUCUGGUGCCAGCAGCCGCGGUAAUUCCAGCUCCAAUAGCGUAUAUUAAAGUUGUUGCAGUUAAAAAGCUCGUAGUUGAAUUUCGGGGUUAGUAGGUUGGUCGUGCCUCAGGUAUGUACUGAUCUCACUGAUUCCUCCUUCCUGAUGAACCGUAAUGCCAUUAAUUUGGUGUUGCGGGGAAACUGGACUGUUACUUUGAAAAAAUUAGAGUGUUUAAAGCAGGCUAACGCUUGAAUACAUUAGCAUGGAAUAAUGAAAUAGGACGUUCGAUCCUAUUUUGUUGGUUUCUAGGAUUGACGUAAUGAUUAAUAGGGAUAGUUGGGGGCAUUAGUAUUCAAUUGUCAGAGGUGAAAUUCUUGGAUUUAUUGAAGACUAACUACUGCGAAAGCAUUUGCCAAGGAUGUUUUCACUAAUCAAGAACGAAAGUUAGGGGAUCGAAGACGAUCAGAUACCGUCGUAGUCUUAACCAUAAACUAUGCCGACUAGGGAUCGGAUGAUGUUAAUUUUUUAAUGACUCAUUCGGCGCCUUACGGGAAA
rnacentral:rRNA from 1 species